ensembl:lncRNA
AUGACUAGCAUUAUUACAAGUGUUUGUGUUUCUCUAGUAUGUCUCACAGUUGUAUUUGGUAAAACUGCUUUCCAGUCACCUGGUGACCUCAUUAAGAACCAGGAUGAAUCUGCUGUGAUCAUAUGCACACACAAUAUACCAAACUAUGACCGUAUUCUUUGGUACAAAAAAGACAUCAUGGGCUUCAAGUUCAUGGGGUUUCUUAAUCUCAUAUAUGACAACCCUGAGUUGGAAUUUAUAAACAAGAUCAAACUUGAUGGAGUAAUGUGUGAGUAAUGAUUAAUUAAAGUAAUGUGUUUGUUACAUUAAUAAGAUAUAAGGAGCGCUGGUCACUUUAAGAGUUUGGAAUAAGCAAUGACGCUGACGCUAAUGUUUUCACGCAGUUCAGUGAUGUAAGUGUUCAGUUUAUGCAGUUCAGUAAAGCUGACGAGAACAAUAAAAAGUAAAAUAAGUUCAAGUACGAGUCCUCUUUACAGACAUUACACUCUGGUUGUAAAUUAUGGUAAAUUUCCUGCUGAAUUAUUUACUUAGGUCAAGGUCUACAUCAGCAUAAAUAUGUAUGUUUGAAACAUUUAUUCACUAGAAUAUCUGAGAUCAUUAUGAGUUUACUUGUUUUGUAUAUAAAGUGAUUCAAACAUGGAUUAACAAACGUGGAGAGAAACUUUCUUCACAGCAUAGUGUGGCAAGAAAUUGCAGCAAUUUGUAGGAAAUGCCAAGGGACCAUAAUAGAAAUUGUUAAGUAGGGGAGGUCAGGUGUCAAUACUGAUAGAAUUAUAUCAAACCAAAACUUUUUUUUUUUUCUCAACAAAGUAUUACUCUAGUCUAAAUCAACAUGUUCAGAGUUCUCCUAGUCUUGCUGCUUUGGCUUACAGGUAACUAUUUUAUAUUAAAUGAUGCUAAUGAUUUCAUAACACUGUUAAUUUCAAUUAAGUAUAAUGUGCUUUUUUGUUUCUUUUUACAGGUUCUGUUGUUAAUGGCAGUGUUAAUCAAAGCCCCUCAAAUCUAAUUAAAUCUGAGAGAGACAAUGCAGAACUUGUAUGCGAAUACAACAUACCAUCUUACACUAGGAUUUUCUGGUACAAACAAACACUUGGCCAUGACUUCAUAUUCCUUGGAUAUAUCUGGAAUAAGAAUUCUUACCCAGAGGAUAAUCUCAAUAAAAAAAAAUAAAAUAAAAAAAAAAAAAAACACUUCCACUCAAGGGCUUGGUUGAAUUUCCCGCUAAUAUUUGUAUCCUUCUGUGAGGGUAGCAGUCAUGUGGACUAAAUAUCAAUACUAAAUUGGAAUUUAAACAAUAUUCAUUUCAUAAAAUAUAUUCACAGUUGUUUACAGUGAUAUAGUGCAAUCAUUAUGUAUCUUAAUUUGAACAGCAUGGCCGUGAAUGUAUGUUUCUCUAAUACACAUUUAAUAUAUUAAAUAUCAUCUUACUAAGACAUAUUUUUGGGAGAAAUAGAGUAACAUCUGCAUUUUAUUUCUGCUGUGCUGUUAUAAAGAUCUCACACUGAGUGACUGAACACUCAAAGUC